AUUGAACGCUGGCGGCAGGCCUAACACAUGCAAGUCGAACGGUAGCACAGAGGAGCUUGCUCCUUGGGUGACGAGUGGCGGACGGGUGAGUAAUGUCUGGGAAACUGCCCGAUGGAGGGGGAUAACUACUGGAAACGGUAGCUAAUACCGCAUAACGUCUUCGGACCAAAGUGGGGGACCUUCGGGCCUCACACCAUCGGAUGGGCCCAGAUGGGAUUAGCUAGUAGGUGGGGUAAUGGCUCACCUAGGCGACGAUCCCUAGCUGGUCUGAGGGGAUGACCAGCCACACUGGAACUGAGACACGGUCCAGACUCCUACGGGAGGCAGCAGUGGGGAAUAUUGCACAAUGGGCGCAAGCCUGAUGCAGCCAUGCCGCGUGUAUGAAGAAGGCUUUCGGGUUGUAAAGUACUUUCAGCGGGGAGGAAGGCGUUAAGGUUAAUAACCUUGGCGAUUGACGUUACCCGCAGAAGAAGCACCGGCUAACUCCGUGCCAGCAGCCGCGGUAAGAC
rnacentral:rRNA from 1 species